rnacentral:rRNA from 1 species
UAACCUGCCCAAGAGAUCGGGAUAACACCUGGAAACAGAUGCUAAUACCGGAUAACAACAGAUGAUGCCUAUCAACUGUUUAAAAGAUGGUUCUGCUAUCACUCUUGGAUGGACCUGCGGUGCAUUAGCUAGUUGGUAGGGUAACGGCCUACCAAGGCGAUGAUGCAUAGCCAGUUGAGAGACUGAUCGGCCACAUUGGGACUGAGACACGGCCCAAACUCCUACGGGAGGCAGCAGGC